CUUGGCACCCAGAGCCAAGUAUGUUUUUAAAGAUGUUGGGGACCUCAGCUCACCACGCGCUGCCCCACAUGCAGUGGUGAAACCCAGGCCCCGACAGGC
rnacentral:snoRNA from 1 species